AGAGCGGCAUGGAUUCCACACUGGAAUGAGGAGAGGCCUGCUAUUGCUGUGUGACACUGAUUUUGCUGCUGCACUUUGUCUUUUAGAAAUAAAUCCAGUUUCCAGCCAGUCUGUGUCUGUUGUCACAACGCAGUCGACCAUUUGAAAUCUGCUACAUGUGCGGGAGAAAGAGUACAUCUACUGAUCACGGAGGGGCUUUUAACUGCAGCAGCUUGAGAGGACGUAAACAUAAAUGGUUCCCACCCCCUUCCACCCAACCAACAGCUGAGCUUUAAUGCCAGCCAGCUGAUGGGCUCCUUUGUUUCAGUGGAUGUGGUUCAGUAGUAUGAAAAUAGUUCCCACAUGAAACUGUGCAAAACAAGGUUUGUAGAGUUUUUGAGCAACCAGGCCCUGAUUACAGGAAGGAUACAUAGCUGCCACUGGCACUACAAGGAAAAUGUUAUUUAGUUUCAUGACAUUUAAGAGAAUGGAGACAUUUCCACAGCCUAUACUGUAUCACCAAAUCUGGGCACUACAGGCCCAAGUUAGAUUUUGCAGUGAAAUAUUCCUUUAAGUAGCAGGCUCGUCAAAGCACUUGAUUAUUGCUCUUCAAAUUUGGAUGUACAAUAGAUUUUAAUGCAAAACAGCACAUUUUGUGCUUCUGAUUUCUCAUUUGGGUAAAAAGGAGUUGCACGCUACUGCAUUCAGAUUAAAAUGCAGAGACAAAACGGGGGUCCUGGGUGCCUCAGAAAUAUAACAGAGUUAGUGAAGCUCUUACCUCCUGGGUUUCGUCUGAGGAUAUAUCUUCUGACUUCAUCAUAAAGGAAGAUGACGAGGGAGUAAGGGAAGGCACAGAACCACCACAAUGGCCUAAAGGUAUGGAUGGACAGUCAGGUUGAGUUACAUGGCAAAAAAAGCAAAACAAAACACAAACACACUCGUCUUUUUUCUGUCAGGUUCAAUAAAGGCACAUG